UUUGGACCGAUUCCAGCGCGUAUAGACCAAACGCUUUUCGACUCCUUUCUUGAUUUUUUCCGGACCUUUUCCUUCCGAUCAUCGGAUUGUACGACGGCGACUUGACCCUCUUUUUUUUUUGUCAGUCGGCGACUUUUCUCCACUUUCAAACUCUCCCAAUUCCACCUUCUUCUCAUCAUCGGAUUCAGAAAUCAAUCUCUCUGUCCCUCAAUUCUCUCUCAGUUCAUCAUCGAACUCCAAAGAUGCACAUCUUCG
rnacentral:lncRNA from 1 species